rnacentral:rRNA from 1 species
CCUACGGGCGGCAGCAGUGGGGAAUAUUGGACAAUGGGGGGAACCCUGAUCCAGCCAUGCCGCGUGUGUGAAGAAGGCCCUCGGGUUGUAAAGCGCUUUCAGUGAGGAAGAACGCCUGGUGGUUAAUACCCAUCAGGAAAGACAUCACUCACAGAAGAAGCACCGGCUAACUCCGUGCCAGCAGCCGCGGUAAUACGGAGGGUGCGAGCGUUAAUCGGAAUUACUGGGCGUAAAGCGCGCGUAGGUGGCUUGAUAAGCCGGUUGUGAAAGCCCCGGGCUCAACCUGGGAACGGCAUCCGGAACUGUCAAGCUAGAGUGCAGGAGAGGAAGGUAGAAUUCCCGGUGUAGCGGUGAAAUGCGUAGAGAUCGGGAGGAAUACCAGUGGCGAAGGCGGCCUUCUGGACUGACACUGACACUGAGGUGCGAAAGCGUGGGUAGCAAACAGGAUUAGAUACCCGAGUAGUC